rnacentral:rRNA from 1 species
UAGGGAAUCUUCCGCAAUGGACGAAAGUCUGACGGAGCAACGCCGCGUGAGUGAAGAAGGAUUUCGGUUCGUAAAACUCUGUUGUUAGGGAAGAAAAAAUGUAUAGUAACUAUAUACAAAAGAGACGGUACCUAACCAGAAAGCCACGGCUAACUACGUGCCAGCAGCCGCGGUAAUACGUAGGUGGCAAGCGUUGUCCGGAAUUAUUGGGCGUAAAGCGCGCGCAGGUGGUUUAGAAAGUCUGAUGUGAAAGCCCACGGCUCAACCGUGGAGGGUCAUUGGAAACUAAUAAACUUGAGUGCAGGAGAGAAAAGUGGAAUUCCUAGUGUAGCGGUGAAAUGCGUAGAGAUUAGGAGGAACACCGGUGGCGAAAGCGACUUUCUGGACGACAACUGACGCUUAGGCGAGAAAGCGUGGGGAGCAAACAGG